AAAUAUUGCACAUCGAACUUUAGAAAGAGAUUUCUGCUGCGUGAAGCAUUAUCCUUGUCACUCAUACUUAUGUAACGUUUUGUCGGUCGUAAAGACAGAGACAACGCUCUACGCAACCGCUAUCUCUUUCUAAAGUUCGAUGUGCAAUAUUUCCUGCCGGGUACUUACUGCAGCGUUAAU